CUGAAGACUGAACACUGACUUGAAGAAGUCAUGAUGAAGAUUUCUUGUCUCUUUGCGAUCGUCUUCGCCUUCUUGCUAUGCGGAAGUGCAGAAGGUAAUUUAAUCCGUAAGAGUGUGGAAACACUAACAGAAGAUGAAGUUCUCAACCUACAAGUAGCUCUUCGAGC